rnacentral:misc_RNA from 1 species
AUUCAUACUUGACAGCAGUCGAAGUUCUCCGCGAUACAGUUCAACUUUCAACUACUAUCCCUACGUUGUGCUGAAAAAUUCGUGUAAGGCUUUCAAUCAGUCAUCACUGUGCCUAGUUCAUCGCAGUACUUAUUCAACUUCCAACCACGAAGGGCAGGCGUUGCAUGGCAUUGCACAAUUCGUUUACAGGUAUGACAUAAAUAUCAGUAUGAUAUAAGUUAGAGUACAUUAUAAAAAUAUAUUCAAUGUAAUAU